AUUGAACGCUGGCGGAAUGCUUUACACAUGCAAGUCGAGCGGCAGCACGGGGGCAACCCUGGUGGCGAGCGGCGAACGGGUGAGUAAUACAUCGGAACAUGCCCAGUCGUGGGGGAUAACACUUCGAAAGAAGUGCUAAUACCGCAUACGUCCUGAGGGGGAAAGCGGGGGAUCGCAAGACCUCGCGCGAUUGGAGUGGCCGAUGUCAGAUUAGCUAGUUGGUGGGGUAAAGGCCUACCAAGGCAACGAUCUGUAGCUGGUCUGAGAGGAUGAUCAGCCACACUGGGACUGAGACACGGCCCAGACUCCUACGGGAGGCAGCAGUGGGGAAUUUUGGACAAUGGGGGCAACCCUGAUCCAGCCAUUCCGCGUGAGCGAAGAAGGCCUUCGGGUUGUAAAGCUCUUUCGGCAGGAACGAAACGGUGAGCUCUAACAUAGCUUGCUAAUGACGGUACCUGAAGAAGAAGCACCGGCUAACUACGUG
rnacentral:rRNA from 1 species